AGCAGAUCAGUCUCACCAGAUGGCAGCAAAAACCUCCACCAAAACAACCACGUCCUCGGCCAUUUCCCAGCAGACCACCAGUGAGCGCUCCGGCAAAGCGAAGCAGAAGAAGCGAGCCACCUUAAUGUUUUGCCAGAGCGAGGCAGAAAGUCAACCGAAAGAUAGGAGCUCAAGCAAGAAGAGACGGGUCGAGAAGGGGAAGGCAGGUCACCCAACCUCAACAUCACAGGACAACGAGGAUUCUGAGUCCUCUUACUCUGCAUACCUGCAGCGGCUGCUUU